UCACACCCAACAUGGAGGCCCAGGUACGAGAGCCACAGUGAAGAACAUCACUGAGGAGAGCUGACCAUAUCAAAAAGAAAAGAAAUAGAGGUAGCUGCAAGACGGGAGCCUGCUGCAGCAACAAAGACCUUGGUAAAUGAUCGACGAUAUGGGAAAAGAAAUGAGUCAACAUUAAUUGUUUGUUGAAGGCCUCAAGAAGGCACUUAAGAGUUGAGGGAUUAGACUUAAAACAUAGGAUUUGUUAAAGAUUUUUGUCUUUAUUAAGGAAGUUUGUCCCU
rfam:Mesocricetus auratus contig003075, whole genome shotgun sequence.